rnacentral:rRNA from 1 species
CCUACGGGUGGCAGCAGUAGGGAAUCUUUCACAAUGGGCGAAAGCCUGAUGGAGCAACGCCGCGUGCAGGAUGAAGGCCUUCGGGUUGUAAACUGCUGUUAUAAGCGAGGAAUAUGAUGGUAACUUAUGAAUAAGGCUCGGCUAAAUACGGUCCAGCAGCCCGGGUCAUACGUAAGAGGCGAGCAUUAUCCGGAGUGUCUGGGUGUAAAGAGGUGCGUAGGUGGGAUAAUAAGUAGCUAGUGAAAUCUGGUGGCUCAACCAUUCAGACUAUUAGCUAAACUGUUAAGCUCGAGACCGGUAGGGGUAACUGGAAUUUCUAGUGUAGGAGUGAAAUGCGUAUAUAUUAGAAGGAACACCAAUAGCGUAGGCAGGUUGCUGGGACGGUUCUGACACUAAGGCACGAAAGCGUAGGGAGCAAACGGGAUUAGAUACCCGUGUAGUC